rnacentral:rRNA from 1 species
CUCAGAUUGAACGCUGGCGGCAUGCCUUACACAUGCAAGUCGAACGGCAGCACGGAGCUUGCUCUGGUGGCGAGUGGCGAACGGGUGAGUAAUAUAUCGGAACGUACCCUGGAGUGGGGGAUAACGUAGCGAAAGUUACGCUAAUACCGCAUACGAUCUAAGGAUGAAAGUGGGGGAUCGCAAGACCUCAUGCUCCUGGAGCGGCCGAUAUCUGAUUAGCUAGUUGGUAGGGUAAAAGCCUACCAAGGCAUCGAUCAGUAGCUGGUCUGAGAGGACGACCAGCCACACUGGAACUGAGACACGGUCCAGACUCCUACGGGAGGCAGCAGUGGGGAAUUUUGGACAAUGGGGGCAACCCUGAUCCAGCAAUGCCGCGUGAGUGAAGAAGGCCUUCGGGUUGUAAAGCUCUUUUGUCAGGGAAGAAACGGUGUGAGCUAAUAUCUCAUGCUAAUGACGGUACCUGAAGAAUAAGCACCGGCUAACUACGUGCCAGCAGCCGCGGUAAUACGUAGGGUGCAAGCGUUAAUCGGAAUUACUGGGCGUAAAGCGUGCGCAGGCGGUUUUGUAAGACUGUCGUGAAAUCCCCGGGCUCAACCUGGGAAUGGCGAUGGUGACUGCAAGGCUAGAGUUUGGCAGAGGGGGGUAGAAUUCCACGUGUAGCAGUGAAAUGCGUAGAUAUGUGGAGGAACACCGAUGGCGAAGGCAGCCCCCUGGGUCAAAACUGACGCUCAUGCACGAAAGCGUGGGGAGCAAACAGGAUUAGAUACCCUGGUAGUCCACGCCCUAAACGAUGUCUACUAGUUGUCGGGUUUUAAUUAACUUGGUAACGCAGCUAACGC